rnacentral:SRP_RNA from 1 species
GCCGAGUUGGGUAACGCUAGCUUGUGACUCAAGUGGGGGGCAAUACUGCGGUGGGAUAGAACUGUGGCUUCAUUGGGUUGGGCUUUGAUUGCAAAAUGCAGGCCUGCCCACUCCAAGUUGAGAGUUGAACCAUGGGAUCCGAGCGAAGGCUUGGGUUUCUUGGGUCCUAAAGUGGAGGGCACAGCGUGAGGCUGGAUUUACAGAGCAGCGAAAACCUCCCUCUCCCGACAGUGGAGGGAUAACCGGCCGCUGCAGUUUCUGCCCUGUACGCCUAAUGAGCCUGGUCUACUUAGACCAUCACUUUU